UACGUUCCCGGGCCUUGUACACACGCCCGUCACGUCACGAAAGUCGGCAACACCCGAAGCCGGUGGCCUAACCUUGGAGGGAGCCGUCGAAGGUGGGGCUGGCGAUUGGGACG
rnacentral:rRNA from 1 species